rnacentral:lncRNA from 1 species
UCUGGGAGUGCUAGGUCGUAAAGACACCAUGCAUUGACUGAUCAAAGAGGAAACACAAAGAUGAAGAAUAAAGAGAUCCUCUUCUUUUUUUUCUAGAUCCAUGCAUUAGAUCUCUACAAUAGAGAUCAAGAGAAGACUCUUUCUUCUCAAUUUUUCAUGCACAAGAGAGAACCUUUCUCCUUUCCUUUCACACCUUUGAGAAGAACUUUUCUUCUCUAAUUUUUUAUGAUAAAAAUUAGAUCUAAUCUAAUUUCUUAUAUUAAAAAUUAUAUAAAUUUUUGAACCCUAAAAAAAUUCAAAAGAGAGA